AGUGAGGCUGAAGGGUUGCUGGUGG
rnacentral:piRNA from 1 species